CUCCUUCACAGCUGAUUGCAGUGGGGGAAAAUGGAUCCAGCUUAUGCAGAAUAAUGACAGGAAGGGGAAUGGGAUGAGACCAUAUCCUGCAAGAACCUGGAGAUUCUCUAAGUCUGCUCACAACGGACACAAAAACUUCAAACCCCGUUUUUGAGCUCCAGAUCUGAAAACACAAAUAUUGCAAAAGGGUAUUGGUGAUGACACAAGCAGAGAGAAGAAAUAAAUCUCACUGGGACAGUGUGGACAGGAGUGCCUGUUUGCUCUGGAAAGAAUUGGAAGAAGAAGAAAAGAAGAAAAGAAGUGGAUGGCUGCAGUACAUUAAUUGUACAAGAACUGCAAAAUGGCUGAAAACAGAG